rnacentral:rRNA from 1 species
UGGCGCCAGCAGCCGUAGUAAUUCCAGCUCCAAUAGCGUAUAUUAAAAUUGCUGCAGAUAAAAAGCUAGUAGUUGAUUUUCUGCCGCCCCGCCGCCGCCCCCCCAGACGUCGGGGUUUAUUUGGACGACCUCGCGUCUCCGAAUGUUUACUUUGAGAAAAUUAGAGUGCUCAAAGCAGGCCCUUGCCUUGAAUACUUUAGCAUGGAAUAAUAAAGUAGGACUUUGGUUCUAUUUUGUUGGUUUAGCGCCAAAGUAAUGGUUAAUAGGAACAGUUGGGGGCAUUCGUAUUUAACUGUCAGAGGUGAAAUUCUUAGAUUUGUUAAAGACGAACCACUGCGAAAGCAUUUGCCAAGGAUGUUUUCAUUAAUCAAGAACGAAAGUUAGGGGAUCGAAGACGAUCAGAUACCGUCGUAGUCCUAACCAUAAACCAGGCCGACUAGAGAUUGGAGGUCGUCAGUUUCUUACGAUUUCUU